UGAUGACUGUUCCUCUUGCUGUCACAAGCCUUGGACAGUGGGAUUUUGUGUCAUCAAAUAUUGAAACUGGCCUUUCUUCACUCAAGGUGCCUUUGGAUGGAUUUGGCCAUCUGCUAGCACUUUUGAAUUUUGCGGGGCCAGACAUUC